GGCGGCGUGCCUAAUACAUGCAAGUCGAACGAGUUCUCGUUGAUGAUCGGUGCUUGCACCGAGAUUCAACAUGGAACGAGUGGCGGACGGGUGAGUAACACGUGGGUAACCUGCCCUUAAGUGGGGGAUAACAUUUGGAAACAGAUGCUAAUACCGCAUAGAUCCAAGAACCGCAUGGUUCUUGGCUGAAAGAUGGCGUAAGCUAUCGCUUUUGGAUGGACCCGCGGCGUAUUAGCUAGUUGGUGAGGUAAUGGCUCACCAAGGCGAUGAUACGUAGCCGAACUGAGAGGUUGAUCGGCCACAUUGGGACUGAGACACGGCCCAAACUCCUACGGGAGGCAGCAGUAGGGAAUCUUCCACAAUGGACGCAAGUCUGAUGGAGCAACGCCGCGUGAGUGAAGAAGGCUUUCGGGUCGUAAAACUCUGUUGUUGGAGAAGAAUGGUCGGCAGAGUAACUGUUGUCGGCGUGACGGUAUCCAACCAGAAAGCCACGGCUAACUACGUGCCAGCAGCCGCGGUAAUACGUAGGUGGCAAGCGUUAUCCGGAUUUAUUGGGCGUAAAGCGAGCGCAGGCGGUUUUUUAAGUCUGAUGUGAAAGCCCUCGGCUUAACCGAGGAAGCGCAUCGGAAACUGGGAAACUUGAGUGCAGAAGAGGACAGUGGAACUCCAUGUGUAGCGGUGAAAUGCGUAGAUAUAUGGAAGAACACCAGUGGCGAAGGCGGCUGUCUGGUCUGUAACUGACGCUGAGGCUCGAAAGCAUGGGUAGCGAACAGGAUUAGAUACCCUGGUAGUCCAUGCCGUAAACGAUGAAUGCUAGGUGUUGGAGGGUUUCCGCCCUUCAGUGCCGCAGCUAACGCAUUAAGCAUUCCGCCUGGGGAGUACGACCGCAAGGUUGAAACUCAAAGGAAUUGACGGGGGCCCGCACAAGCGGUGGAGCAUGUGGUUUAAUUCGAAGCAACGCGAAGAACCUUACCAGGUCUUGACAUCUUUUGAUCACCUGAGAGAUCAGGUUUCCCCUUCGGGGGCAAAAUGACAGGUGGUGCAUGGUUGUCGUCAGCUCGUGUCGUGAGAUGUUGGGUUAAGUCCCGCAACGAGCGCAACCCUUAUGACUAGUUGCCAGCAUUUAGUUGGGCACUCUAGUAAGACUGCCGGUGACAAACCGGAGGAAGGUGGGGAUGACGUCAAAUCAUCAUGCCCCUUAUGACCUGGGCUACACACGUGCUACAAUGGAUGGUACAACGAGUUGCGAGACCGCGAGGUCAAGCUAAUCUCUUAAAGCCAUUCUCAGUUCGGACUGUAGGCUGCAACUCGCCUACACGAAGUCGGAAUCGCUAGUAAUCGCGGAUCAGCACGCCGCGGUGAAUACGUUCCCGGGCCUUGUACACACCGCCCGUCACACCAUGAGAGUUUGUAACACCCGAAGCCGGUGGCGUAACCCUUUUAGGGAGCGAGCCGUCUAAGGUGGGACA
rnacentral:rRNA from 2 species